AGGCGCGCUUCGGAUUGGAGCCGAGUUCUUAGCGCGAUGGUACAAUGGAACAAACAACAAGGACACACCCGUCUAUGUGUCCUCACCAACCUGGGAGAAUCACAAUGCUGUAUUUUCUGCUGCUGGUUUUAAAGACAUUCGGCCCUAUCGCUACUGGGAUGCAGAGAAGAGAGGACUGGACCUCCAGGGCCUCCUGAAUGAUCUGGAGAAUGCUCCUGAGUUCUCCAUCUUUGUCCUCCAUGCCUGUGCACACAACCCAACUGGGACCGACCCAACUCCGGAGCAGUGGAAGCAGAUUGCU